GGGAGAAGGUACGCUCUUGAUGGUGAAGUCCCUCGCGGAUGGAGCUGACGAGAGUCGCAGAUACCAGGUGGCUGCAACUGUUUAUUAAAAACACAGCACUGUGCAAAAUCGCAAGAUGACGUAUACGGUGUGACGCCUGCCCGGUGCCGGAAGGUUAAUUGAUGGGGUUAGCGCAAGCGAAGCUCUUGAUCGAAGCCCCGGUAAACGGCGGCCGUAACUAUAACGGUCCUAAGGUAGCGAAAUUCCUUGUCGGGUAAGUUCCGACCUGCACGAAUGGCGUAAUGAUGGCCACGCUGUCUCCACCCGAGACUCAGUGAAAUUGAAAUCGCUGUGAAGAUGCAGUGUACCCGCGGCUAGACGGAAAGACCCCGUGAACCUUUACUACAGCUUGGCACUGAACAUUGAACCUACAUGUGUAGGAUAGGUGGGAGGCUAUGAAGACGUGACGCCAGUUGCGUUGGAGCCGUCCUUGAAAUACCACCCUUGUAUGUUUGAUGUUCUAACUUAGACCCAUUAUCUGGGUUGAGGACAGUGCCUGGUGGGUAGUUUGACUGGGGCGGUCUCCUCCCAAAGAGUAACGGAGGAGCACGAAGGUGGGCUAAUCACGGUUGGACAUCGUGAGGUUAGUGCAAUGGCAUAAGCCCGCUUAACUGCGAGAAUGACGGUUCGAGCAGGUGCGAAAGCAGGUCAUAGUGAUCCGGUGGUUCUGUAUGGAAGGGCCAUCGCUCAACGGAUAAAAGGUACUCCGGGGAUAACAGGCUGAUACCGCCCAAGAGUUCAUAUCGACGGCGGUGUUUGGCACCUCGAUGUCGGCUCAUCACAUCCUGGGGCUGAAGUCGGUCCCAAGGGUAUGGCUGUUCGCCAUUUAAAGUGGUACGCGAGCUGGGUUUAGAACGUCGUGAGACAGUUCGGUCCCUAUCUGCCGUGGGCGUUGGAAGAUUGAAGGGGGCUGCUCCUAGUACGAGAGGACCGGAGUGGACGAACCUCUGGUGUUCGGGUUGUGUCGCCAGACGCAUUGCCCGGUAGCUAAGUUCGGAAUUGAUAAGCGCUGAAAGCAUCUAAGCGCGAAGCGAGCCCUGAGAUGAGUCUUCCCUGACAGUUUAACUGUCCUAAAGGGUUGUUCGAGACUAGAACGUUGAUAGGCAGGGUGUGUAAGCGUUGUGAGGCGUUGAGCUAACCUGUACUAAUUGCCCGUGAGGCUUAACCAUACAACACCCAAGGGGUUUUGUA
rnacentral:rRNA from 1 species